rnacentral:rRNA from 1 species
AUUGAACGCUGGCGGCAGGCUUAACACAUGCAAGUCGAGCGGGGGAAGGUAGCUUGCUACCGGACCUAGCGGCGGACGGGUGAGUAAUGCUUAGGUAUCUGCCUACUAGUGGGGGACAACAUCUCGAAAGGGAUGCUAAUACGGCAUACGUCCUACGGGAGAAAGCAGGGGAUCUUCGGACCUUGCGCUAAUAGGUGAGCCUAAGUCGGGUUAGAUAGUUGGUGGGGUAAAGGCUUACCAAGGCGACGAUCUGGAGCGGGUCUGAGAGGAUGAUCCGCCACGCUGGGACUGAGACACGGGCCAGACUCCUACGGGAGGCAGCAGUGGGGAAUAUUGGAAAAUGGGGGGAACCCUGAUCCAGCCAUGCCGCGUGUGUGAAGAAGGCCUUAUGGUUGUAAAGCACUUUAAGCGAGGAGGAGGCUACUUUAGUCAAUACCUAGAGAUAGUGGACGUUACUCGCAGAAUAAGCACCGGCUAACUCUGUGCCAGCCGCCGCAGUAA